UACGUAGGGUGCAAGCGUUAAUCGGAAUUACUGGGCGUAAAGCGUGCGCAGGCGGUUGUGUAAGACAGAUGUGAAAUCCCCGGGCUCAACCUGGGAACUGCAUUUGUGACUGCAUAGCUGGAGUGCGGCAGAGGGGGAUGGAAUUCCGCGUGUAGCAGUGAAAUGCGUAGAUAUGCGGAGGAACACCGAUGGCGAAGGCAAUCCCCUGGGCCUGCACUGACGCUCAUGCACGAAAGCGUGGGGAGCAAACAGG
rnacentral:rRNA from 1 species